AUGGCAAGGUACCAGCGAUCAUGGUCUGACAUACCACCAGAGCUUGCUGCCCUGGUCCUCCUCCGCCUCCAUGCCCACUCUGACCGUGUCCGUUUCGCAGCUGUAUGCCGCGAUUGGCGCGCCUGCGCAAGGCAGCAUCAGCUGCCCCCGCCUUUGCCCUGGUUCAUACUCCCUGGUGGAACCUUCUUCACCUUACCCCACAGUGAAUCCUUCCUGAUCCCCAACGGUGUCGAAUUCCACAGUUCCUGCGGUGAGUGGCUUGUCUUUGCACGUGACGACAUCUGCUACCUCGUAGACACCUUCUCUAAGGUCACCUUGAAGCUCCCUGACCUAGACAUGUACGACCGCAUCGAGGAGCCUGACGAAGUUAUCAAUGGUCACAGCAUGUGCUACAUUUGUCUGGACGUGGAUGUAACCAUGUCAAUAUACAAGGUAAUCGUGUGCUCAGUGCUCCUUGUUGCUGCCAUCGUUGACAUCGGGGAUCUCCGCACUCUUGCGGUGUGCCGACCGGGAGGUAACCUAUGGUUUGUAAGUGCGCUUGGCUACGACAGGUCCUUUGACAUAAUUCUCCAUGGAGGCAAGUUGCUCACGGUUGAUGGAUGGAGGAACCUUUGCGUUAUCGAUGUCGAAGAGGACAGUGACAAUGGCAGCCUAUUCAUUUCCCGGAUCGAGCGCAUCAUCAAGGGUCCUCCCUGGCCCUUCAGGCAGUUCCCGGGUGGCCUCCUUGUAUUCGACCAAUACCUGGUUGAAUCUCAUGGCGCCCUGCUGCUGGUCCGUGGGACAAUCUAUGGCAAGCCACCUGAGGACAACCACACCGGGUUCGAGAUCAGGGCAGUACGGUUUGAAUUCGAGGUGUGUGAGGCAGACUUUCAGUCGUCGCAGUGGGUUGAGAGGAGGAGCGUGGGGGGACGACCAGGUGCUGUUUCUUGGGCCGAGAUGCUCCAAGUCUGUCUGUGCGCCCCAGUACAAUCUGAAGGGGAACUGCAUCUUCUUCCUGGAUGA
rnacentral:rRNA from 1 species